rnacentral:rRNA from 1 species
GAUAAACGCUGGCGGCGUGCUAUAUGCAUGCAAGUCGAACGGUUUCGAUUUAUCGGAACAGUGGCAGACGGGUGAGUAACACGUAAGUAACCUGCCCCCAAGUAGGGAAUAACUCUGAGAAAUUGGAGCUAAUACCUUAUGUGUUGGUGAGGGUAAGGCCUCAUCAAUAAAGUCUUAGGAUGCUUGGGGAGGGGCUUGCGGCCGAUUAGCUAGUUGGUAGGGUAAUGGUCUACCAAGGCGAUGAUCGGUAGCUGGUUUGAGAGGACGGUCAGCCACACUGGGACUGAGACACGGCCCAGACUCCUACGGGAGGCAGCAGCAAGGAAUAUUGUGCAAUGGGCGAAAGCCUGACACAGCGACGCCGCGUGAGGGAUGAAGGCCUUCGGGUUGUAAACCUCUUUCCUCAGGGAAGAAAAAUGACGGUACCUGAGGAAUAAGUCUUGGCUAACUACGUGCCAGCAGCCGCGGUAAUACGUAGGAGGCAAGCGUUAUUCGGAUUUAUUGGGCGUAAAGAGGGCGUAGGCGGCUUUUCAAGUCGGAUGUAAAAUCUCCCGGCUCAACUGGGAGGGACCAUGCGAUACUGUUAGGCUAGAGGGCAGCAGAGGGAGGUGGAAUUCCCGGUGUAGUGGUGAAAUGCGUAGAUAUCGGGAGGAACACCAGUGGCGAAGGCGGCCUCCUGGGCUGUUUCUGACGCUGAGGCCCGUAAGCGUGGGGAGCGAACAGGAUUAGAUACCCUGGUAGUCCACGCCGUAAACUAUGGACACUAGGUAUGGGGAGUAUCGACCCUCUCUGUGCCGAAGUUAACGCGUUAAGUGUCCCGCCUGGGGAGUACGGCCGCAAGGCUA